rnacentral:rRNA from 1 species
GUUCUUAUAAAUUAAUUAGACGACAAGACCCUUUUGAACUUUACUAUUGUUUAGCUGGGGUAGCUAUAAAAUAUUAAUCUUCUUAAUUUUAUUUAUAUAAAUGACCCAAUUCAAUUGAUUAUUUGAACAAGUUACCAUAGGGAUAACAGCGUAAUAUUUUUUAAAAGUUCUUAUUUAAAAAAAUGAUUGCGACCUCGAUGUUGAAUUAAUGUAACUUUAUUGAUGAAGUAAUCAUAAAAGUUGGUCUGUUCGACCAUUAAAACAUUACGUGAUCUGAG